rnacentral:rRNA from 1 species
UACGAAGGGGGCUAGCGUUGCUCGGAAUUACUGGGCGUAAAGCGCACGUAGGCGGCUUUCUAAGUCGGGGGUGAAAUCCUGGAGCUCAACUCCAGAACUGCCUUCGAUACUGGAGAGCUUGAGUCCGGGAGAGGUGAGUGGAACUGCGAGUGUAGAGGUGAAAUCGUAGAUUAUUCGCAAGAACACCAGUGGCGAAGGCGCUCGCU